rnacentral:rRNA from 1 species
UACGUAAGUGGCGAGCUUUAUCCGGAAUUACUGGGCGUAAAGCGUUCGUAGGCGGUGCAGUAAGUUGGGUUUGAAAGCCCGGGGCUCAACUCCGGACCCGGAUCCAAAACUACUGUACUUAGCGUAUCAGGGGGCAGCGGAAUUCCCGGUGUAGCGGUAAUAUGCGUAGAUAUCGGGAGGAACACCAGUGGCGAAGGCGGCUGCCUGGGGUAUUGCUGACGCUGAGGAACGAAGGCCAGGGGAGCGAACGGG